CCCUUAGAUGUUCUGGGCAGCACGCGCGCUACAAUGGUCUUCGCAAACGGAUGCAUUCUCGAAGGAGAAUGCCAAUCUUGGAAUCUAUGCCUUGGUCGGGACAGUUGCUUGCAAUUUUUCGACUCGAACCAGGAAUUCCUUGUAAUCGUGAUUCAUCACAUCACGAUGAAUACGUCCCUGCCCUUUGUACACACCGCCCGUCGCUCCUACCGAUCGAAGAGUUAGGUGAAUUGUUUUGAUCGAUAAGAUUUGACUAUGGUCAACUCUCGUUGUGAAAUUCUGUGAAUCUGACUGUUUAGAGGAAGGUAAAGUCGUAACA
rnacentral:rRNA from 1 species